ensembl:lncRNA
UGUGUGUGUGUCAUCAUGUUUAUCAGUCUGCUUGUGAAUGUGAAAGGCAAUCAGCAGUGAUAGAGGUGGAUAGGACUACCUGCCUUUGAAACCUUGGUGUGUGGGUGUGCCCCCCUUACAGGACGAGUCCACUGCUUAACGAGGUGUGUUCACCUGUCCCUGUAGGAGUGCCAGGUGCUUCCAAGGCAGAGAAAGACCAAGGAUGGUGUCUGCAGGAGAACAGGAGAUCUACAGUAUAUGGACACUAAUGGGUCCGUAUGGGGUAGACCGUGCCGUUCAUGAAAUAGAAUUUACUGACUGUGAGAAUGGACUGGGGAUCAAAGUGAUUGGAGGAAUGAAGGAGUUAACGGGAGAGGAGUUUGGAGUCUACGUGAAAAGGAUUUUACCUGGUGGCCUUGCUUCAAGUGAUGGACACCUCCAGGCGGGAGACCAGAUCUUGGAGGUGAAUGGGGAGAGUUUACUAGGGGUCACUAGUGAAAGAGCAGUAGACGUUCUGAGAUCAGCGUCCUCGAGCAACCAAAUGCGCCUUCUGAUCGCCAGAGACGAGGAAGCCAGGAGAGAGUUUUCAGAGCUUUUGGAGAAGUAUGGAUCCAGCAGUAGUACUGGGUCGACACGCAACUCUCCCAUCCAGCAUGGCAGAUAUCUGGACAGCACAUCGUCC